rnacentral:tRNA from 1 species
CGAAAUCGGUAGACGCUACGGACUUAAAAUCCGUCGACUUUAUAAAUCGGGA